rnacentral:rRNA from 1 species
UAUGGUAGAGAUAUCAUAGCUAGCAAUAGUCUGUAUCGAGGUGCUGCAUGGUUGUCGUCAGCUCGUGCCGUGAGGUGUCGGCUUAAGUGCCAUAACGAGCGCAACCCUUGUCGUUAGUUACCAUCAAGUAAAGUUGGGGACUCUAGCGAGACUGCCACCGUAAGGUGUGAGGAAGGGGGGGGAUGACGUCAAAUCAGCACGGCCCUUACGUCCGGGGCGACACACGUGUUACAAUGGUAGGUACAGAGGGCCGCUAUCCAGCGAUGGAAUGCUAAUCUCGAAAACCUAUCUCAGUUCGGAUCGGAGUCUGCAACUCGACUCCGUGAAGUUGGAUUCGCUAGUAAUCGCGCAUCAGCCAUGGCGCGGUGAAUACGUUCCCGGGCCUU